rnacentral:rRNA from 1 species
GACGAACGCUGGCGGCGUGCCUAAUACAUGCAAGUCGAACGCAGUGGGGACGGGUGAGUAACACGUGGGUAACCUCCCAUCAGAGGGGAUAACACUUGGAAACAGGUGCUAAACCGAUACUGAUGGAUGGACCCGCGGUGCAUUAGCUAGUUGGUGAGGUACCGGCUCACCAAGGCCACGAUGCAUAGCGGACCUAAGAGGGUGAUCGGCCACACUGGGACGUAGAAACGGCCCGGAUUCCUACGGGAGGCAGCAGUAGGGAAGCUUCGGCAAUGGACGAAAGUCUGACCGAGAAACGCCGCGUGAGUGAAGAAGGUUUGCGGAUCGUAAACCUCUGUUGUUAGAGAAGCGGUAUCUAACCAGAAAGCCACGGCUAACUACGUGCCAGCAGCCGCGGUAAUUC